UGGCGGAAGGGAGGAGAGGUGCCUGAGAGCAUCGGGGGCUGCACGGCAAAGCCGAGGAGUGGAGAUCCGUUCCUUCGGAGGAUCGAAACUAGGAUUAAACUAAAGAUACAUGUCGAAUGCAAAGCACACCGUAGGUACCCCCAAAUGGUAGCUGGUUGUCUUUUUACUGCGAAGCCUUGGGGUGAUCCCCAGGAAAGGGGGAGAGGAUCAUAGGAACGGCUGUGCUUCCCACCGGAGCAGCCCGGGCCCGUCCCAACACAGAGCGCGUGGAGACCAGGCCGUCCCCUUGGGCAGCACCCUUGACGUGGCCAUACCCAACACACAGUGUAGCUGAGAUGAUCGGCUGACCAACCAAGUCUGCCGUUCGGGUGACACCAGGGUGACCUUGUGACUGCAAGAUGGCAGCAGAGCCACAAGAAGGAAGGGGCCUCUGUCCUGGAGCAACCACUGGAGAAGAGCCACCCAGGAGAGCCAGGGGUCAGGGGCAUGAGCAUCGGACUUUGUGGGAGUGAGGAAUAAACAUACG